rfam:Oryzias latipes DNA, chromosome15, strain: Hd-rR.
GGCGCUGUGGCUUAGUUGGUUAAAGCGCCUGUCUAGUAAACAGGAGAUCCAGGGUCCAAAUCCCAACAGUGCCU